rnacentral:rRNA from 1 species
GACGAACGCUGGCGGCGUGCUUAACACAUGCAAGUCGAACGGAAAGGCCCUGCUUGCAGGGUAUUCGAGUGGCGAACGGGUGAGUAACACGUGGGUGAUCUGCCCUGCACUUCGGGAUAAGCCUGGGAAACUGGGUCUAAUACCGGAUAGGAGCCAUUUUUAGUGUGAUGGUUGGAAAGUUUUUUCGGUGUAGGAUGAGCUCGCGGCCUAUCAGCUUGUUGGUGGGGUAAUGGCCUACCAAGGCGGCGACGGGUAGCCGGCCUGAGAGGGUGGACGGCCACAUUGGGACUGAGAUACGGCCCAGACUCCUACGGGAGGCAGCAGUGGGGAAUAUUGCACAAUGGGCGCAAGCCUGAUGCGGCGACGCCGCGUGGGGGAUGACGGCCUUCGGGUUGUAAACUCCUUUCGCUAGGGACGAAGCUUUUUGUGACGGUACCUAGAUAAGAAGCACCGGCUAACUACGUG